GCUGACGUAGCUCAGCCGGUAGAGCAACGCCAUGGUAAGGCGUAGGUCGUGAGUUCAAAUCUCAUCGUUAGCUCCA
rnacentral:tRNA from 1 species